UACAGAGGGUGCAAGCGUUGUUCGGAAUUACUGGGCGUAAAGCGCGUGUAGGCUGCGGAGUACGUCGGAUGUGAAAUCCCUUGGCUUAACCAAGGAAGUGCAUCCGAUACUGUUUCGCUUGAGUGUCGGAGGGGAUGGCGGAAUUCCCGGUGUAGAGGUGAAAUUCGUAGAUAUCGGGAGGAACACCUGUGGCGAAGGCGGCCAUCUGGACGACAACUGACGCUGAAACGCGAAAGCGUGGGUAGCAAACAGG
rnacentral:rRNA from 1 species